rnacentral:rRNA from 1 species
UACGUAGGGCGCAAGCGUUGUCCGGAAUUAUUGGGCGUAAAGAGCUCGUAGGCGGCCAGUUGCGUCUGCUGUGAAAUCCCGGGGCUCAACCCCGGGCGUGCAGUGGAUACGGGCUGGCUAGAGGCAGGCAGGGGAGAACGGAAUUCCACGUGUAGCGGUGAAAUGCGUAGAGAUGUGGAGGAACACCUGUGGCGAAGGCGGCAUGCUGGGCCAGCACUGACGCUGAGGCGCGAAAGCCAGGGGAGCGAACGGA